CAAUAGCGUAUAUUAAAGUUGUUGCAGUUAAAAAGCUCGUAGUUGGAUUUCUGGUGGGAGCGAUCGGUCUGGCGCUUAGCGCGAGUACUUGCAUCGUCUCCGGCCAUCCUUGGGGAGAGUCUGUCUGGCAUUAGGUUGUCGGACAGAGGAUCCUCAUCGUUUACUGUGAAAAAAUUAGAGUGUUCAAAGCAGGCUUAUGCCGUUGAAUAUGUUAGCAUGGAAUAAUAAGAUAGGACUUUGGUACUAUUUUGUUGGUUUGCGCACCAAAGUAAUGAUUAAUAGGGACAGUUGGGGGUAUUCGUAUUCCGUUGUCAGAGGUGAAAUUCUUGGAUUUACGGAAGACGAACUACUGCGAAAGCAUUUACCAAGGAUGUUUUCAUUAA
rnacentral:rRNA from 1 species